rnacentral:rRNA from 1 species
UGGGGAAUAUUGCACAAUGGGCGCAAGCCUGAUGCAGCCAUGCCGCGUGUAUGAAGAAGGCCUUCGGGUUGUAAAGUACUUUCAGCGGGGAGGAAGGUGUUGAGGUUAAUAACCUCAGCAAUUGACGUUACCCGCAGAAGAAGCACCGGCUAACUCCGUGCCAGCAGCCGCGGGAACACGGAGGGUGCAAGCGUUAAUCGGAAUUACUGGGCGUAAAGCGCACGCAGGCGGUCUGUCAAGUCGGAUGUGAAAUCCCCGGGCUCAACCUGGGAACUGCAUUCGAAACUGGCAGGCUAGAGUCUUGUAGAGGGGGGUAGAAUUCCAGGUGUAGCGGUGAAAUGCGUAGAGAUCUGGAGGAAUACCGGUGGCGAAGGCGGCCCCCUGGACAAAGACUGACGCUCAGGUGCGAAAGCGUGGGGAGCAAACA